GAGGUAGUGACAAUAAAUCACAAUGCGGAACAAUGUUUUGCAAUUGGAUUGAGAACAACGUACAAACCUUAUCGAUAAACAAUUGGAGGGCAAGUCUGGUGCCAGCAGCCGCGGUAAUUCCAGCUCCAAUAGCGUAUAUUAACGUUGUUGCAGUUAAAAAGCUCGUAGUUGAAAUGAAGGGUAGUUGUGUAACGAAUACAUUCGUGUAUUUUGUUAUUCUACUACCCUCCUUCUAAAUUCGAUAUAUGAGUAUUAAUUUACUUGUAUAUGGUUUUAGACCUUUACUGUGAGAAAAUUAGAGUGUUCAAAGCAGGCAUUUGCUUGAAUAUAUUAGCAUGGAAUAAUCAUGUAUGAUUUUCAUGAUGUAUUUGAUUGGUUUGGUUCAUGAGAAUAAGAUUAAAAGGGACAGUUGGGGGUAUUCAUAUUCAAUAGUAAGAGGUGAAAUUCUCGGAUUUAUGGAAGAUGAACAAGGGCGAAAGCAA
rnacentral:rRNA from 1 species